GUGCCAGCAGCCGCGGUAAUACGUAGGGUGCAAGCAUUAAUCGGAUUUAUUGGGCGUAAAGGGCGCGUAGGCGGAAAGGAAAGUCGGAUGUGAAAUCCCGGGACUCAACCCCGGAACUGCAUCUGAAACUUCCUUUCUAGAGGGUAGACGGAGAAAAUGGAAUUCCACAAGUAGCGGUGAAAUGCGUAGAUAUGUGGAAGAACACCAGUGGCGAAGGCGGUUUUCUAGUCUACACCUGACGCUGAGGCGCGAAAGCUAGGGGAGCAAACAGGAUUAGAUACCCUGGUAGUCCUAGCCGUAAACGAUGCAUACUUGGUGUAUUCGGACUCAACCCCGGAUGUGCCGAAGCUAACGCGGUAAGUAUGCCGCCUGGGGAGUACAGUCGCAAGGCUGAA
rnacentral:rRNA from 1 species